AGGAGGAACAGCCCCAGUGGCGGGGCAGCUCUGGAAACCUGGAUUCAGCUCUGGCAGGAACUCCGGAGCUCUCCGUCUGCAGGGCCUGGAGGCUCCGGGGCGGG
rfam:Canis lupus familiaris chromosome 15, whole genome shotgun sequence.